CUAUACACUCCAAUCCAUUUGCGCGUCCCUGCGGCGGCUCCGCCAUAUUGAAGGCCGUCCCAAACCACACAGUGAGGAGGGCAAGUGGACUGUUCAGCCCUCAAAUAGCGAGUCUGCACCGAUGCACACUCACGGCAGAAUUUGCAGGUAGUGCUCCGGCAAAAAUGGAGGAGGAGGAAACAACAUACAAAUAUAAGUUCCGUAUGUGUCCACCUCUGUCUUACUGACAAAAAAAAAAAAAUCACAAAAGACGUGGUUUGGAAAGAUCAAAUGAAACUCCGAAAUGGUACUCUGUGCUGACAUUUGUUUUGAUUGAUCAGGUACAUGUCAAAUAGUAAAGGUGUUCAAAGAUGUGUGGAAUCACUAACAAUCACAAGUAUAAUUUAGCUCCUGUCACUGUGAUGGUUGCUGGAUUUAUGAUUUUAAUGGGAGGAUGAAGAAACAGGGCAGCCGGUGCGGCUCAGAACUGUACAUGAUGUCCGUUUACUAAGAAACGAAACGCUGCCUUGCACAGGACGUGUCAGUGUGUUGCUAUGGCGAUGAAUCUUUCUGUUUUCCCGUGGAGUGAGGAGGGCAUCCCAUACCCGCCCGUAUUGUUUAUACCCUCCCAUUUCAAUUAAGGUGCACUACACAGCUGCGAGUGUAACUUCAUUUGGAGCGAUACUCGGUAGUGAAGGCCGAGUGUGUAGGGGUCGGUUUGGGAUUGGGCCUACAUAUAGAGUCCCAGCCAUCGUACAAGCCAUCAAACAUCUUUUUAGCUUUGUCUGGUUUCUUUAGCAAAGAGUACCAAACACAACUCACCUGCUCUCCUCCAGCAGCUGCGUGUUUGUGGGGGAGCCCUGAUGAGUCGAUCACUGAGUGCAGCGGAGUUUCACAGCUCAAGGAAAAACAUUUAUGAUUAUUACUUCAUGGAAAUGCAAUCAGACCGAGACUACUGCGAAGAACUACUGGUCUGCAGUGCAAAAUGAUUUUUAUGAUGAUUAUUGCUUAAUGGAAAUGAUCCACUGCACUCAGUGAUUGUCUUGUCAGGGCUCCCCCACAAUCAAGCGACAACAUUCAUCUCUUGAGGGGAGUCUAACUCCAUGUUACGGUGUGUUUGACCAAGUGAAAUUGACGCCGGAAUGUCCCUUUCAGUCUUGGAUGCUCCUUUACAUUCAUUCAUGACUUCAAUAUCAAAUUUGAAGGUAUUUUUCAAAAUUUCUAGCUUUGCAGACAAAUGUCUAAAUUAUUUUGUAAGAAGCUCUUUGAUAAUAUUGGUUCUUCAAGUGAAGUUUAUUUAUCUUCCUAAAAACUUUUGAUAUUACAAAACUUGCAUAUCUUCAGUCAAACAGAUGCAUCUGGCCUCUUUAAAAGAUCAACAUUCACAAAACUUCAGCUCACCAAGCAGAAGUAUUCAGUAUAUAAUUAUUGUGUCUCAAAAUGAUCACUUUUGACAUAAAAUAAUAUUUGUUUUACAUAACUUUCUUCGGAAGUCUUAAAUUGGGAACACUGUAGAUGUUAAAGGGAAAAAGUAGCUUUAUCUACAAAGUUAAGUCGGCAGGGAUAUCCUUUAAUAAAAGAUCAAUUUAAUUCAAAAGGUCCACAUCUUUAAUGGUAAUGAAGUGCUAUGAAAUAAAUAAUCAUUUCAAGGUUUUCUUGAAUAUCACAAGGGAGAUGAGAUCGAGUUAUUAAUAAACUGUGGUUUCAGAUUCAAUUUUACCAAGUCUAUCAACCUCAACAAACCUUGAUAUUCUUAUUUUUGUAGGAGAAAUAUAAAAAUUUAAAGGGAAUGAGGCAAACUAGGGCGGCACAGUGGUGUAGUGGUUAGCACCGUUGCCUCACAGCAAGAAGGUCCUGGGUUCAAAUCCGAGUUGGGUUGUUUCUGUGUGGAGUUUGCGUGUUCUCCCUGUGUCUGCAUGGGUUUACUCUGGUUUCCUCUCACAGGUGUGAGUGUGGAUGGUUGUUUGUCUCUGUAUGUCAGCCCUGCAAUGAACUGGUGACUUGUCCAGGGUGUCCUCUGCCUUUGCCCCAAGAUGCUGGGAUAGGUUCCAACCCCCCGCAACCCCCAACGGGAAAAGCGGUAGAAAAUGGAUGGAUGGAUAAGCCAAGCCUUCUUUCACUUCAUGAUUAUUAUCCAUUUUACCCUACCCUUCUGCCUUAUCUUUAAAUCUAGCUUUCACCAGUUUAGCCAAAUUAACUCUGCCAAGUUUUUGCAAGACUAUUGAGAUUCCAAAGAUGGGCUUUUGAAUGAGUUAUUUCAUUUAUUUUGCUGAAUUUAUUUCAUAUCAAACACUCAAACGGUUUCUAGUCCUUGUAAAUAAAGAGGAGACGAGGUGCUUCUCACAUAUAGGUACUGUGGAUCAAAAUGCUCCUGUUGAAGUGGACAGUCUAUUCAUGUCCUCUACAUCAGAGAGCUGUGGAAAAAUAAAAGCAUCAUUUCCUCUGGGUGUCUCUGUGUUUCUGUGGGACUAUUCAGCCUCCAAAAGCGGCGGUCUCCAUCAAUAGUGUCUGGGCUGGUGUGAAGCUUUUGUUGGGCUUCCCAGCUCGCAUUUGAAAACACUGUCACCUGCACAGGCUGCCAUGACAACUUGGGCUUUGAUGAGUUUUAUAUUGAUGAUAACCAUUUCAUUCAGAACAAUCAAUCAGGGAUAGAGACUCAGUGCUGGGUUUUAUCCCAGCAGCAAAAACAGGAGGAGAGAUCUGCAUUUCCUUCUCUACAGCCAAGGGGUUGAAAACUGUAACCUACUUUUUCUCCUCCCUUUGUAAUAUCUGACAAACUCACUUUAAGAGGAGACUGAGAGACUCAGCUUAAUAGCAUAGUGGGUCCUCUUCCAGUCUGAUCACUUUGCAUCUCUUCGUGGUUGUUUGUAUGUCCUUUUACAUUUUUGGCAUCUCUUUAUAAUCUUGUUUCUUUAUUUCUCUUGGGUCAUUUCUGCCCCCUAUUGUUGUUUGGUGUAACAGAGAUGAAAUGUUUUCAGGUGUCAAACUUCAUUUUUGUUCCUUUCUGGGUUUUUUAAAUGUUAUUGUGUUGGCGUUUUGUGUUUCUUUGAACAUCCCAGGGACAGAAUUUAAAAUUCUUCCUCUGACCAACAAAGUUUUCAUGGUCAGGCACUUUAAGGCACUUUCAUGGUAAGGUCUUUAAGAGCUCCUAGUUCCCAACAUGCAGGUCUGCUCAUGUGAAAGUGGUCUGAAUGUUAGGUCUUUCAGUUAUCAGGACCCUCUCUCUCCUUGGGAAUAAUCUACCAGUCCGGGUGUGGGGGUCAGAAACCCUCUCUAACUUUAAGAGUCGAUUUGAAACAUUCCUCUUUGAUAAAGCUCAUCGUUCAAGCUGGUUCAGCUGGUCAAGAUCUCAGUUAUACUGCUAUAGGUUCAGACUGCUGGGGAUACUCGCACAUUGAGUACCUUUCCUCCUUCUCCUGCCCAUCUCUCUCUUUCUCCAUCUACCUCUCUCUCAUCUCUAAACCCAGCUCAGUCUCAGCAGAUGACUGUCUAACAUGUUUCUGGUUCUGCUCGAGGUUUCUGCCUGUUAGGAGGUUCUUCCUCUCAAUUGUAACUUGAUAAAUGCUGUAAAGUGUUUCACUCAAGAUGGAUCAGCGUGGUAUAAGAGUGGGUUUGAUCUUAAAAAACAAGACUUAAUCUUAUCCUAUGCUGAUGUUGGUACUUUGUAGAUAUGAGGAAGAGUGUGGUCUUUUUGGACAGCAUAAAUAAUAAUCUUAUUAAUAUAGGAGUUUACAAAAUUCUGAAGCAAGUUACAAAACGCUUAACAAUACAAAAUAGUUAUGAAAGAGAUUUUUUCUUUUAAAAGCAGUUCAUUGGCAACAAAUACAUUUCAUUAUAAUUCAAACAAAUAACAAAUAACAGAUAAACAAAUGAGUGGGAUCCAAUACUCUAGUCAUGAUCGAAGGCUACAGACACAUUUAACAAAUAAUCAAGGAUCAAACAAUAGAAAUGAGUUUGUAAAGAGAAUUAAAUCAUAACACUGAGUUUGUCUGUCUGACACACAGCAAACACUUAGUCACCUCUUGUGACCUGUCUAGAUUUAGGAACCAUGAGGAGGGCCCUGCCAGAGGACCUCAGGCUGAGGUCAGGUUCAUAAGGAGUCAGCAAAUCACAGGUAAAGACUGAAGCCAUGUAUUGACAGGACUGCUGUUAUGGUCACUUCUAUACUAAGUGUUAGAGGUCUAGCAGUAGCAUUUUUUAAAAUCUAUUUCAGUCUUUAGAUGUUGUGCUUACUGAAGCCUGACUAAAGUGCAUUACAGUGGUCCAGUCUGGCAGAAAUGCUUGACUUUGUAAAUAAAGAUUGUAAGGAAGAUGGUUGCAGGAAAUAAUCAGUCCUAACAUCUUCAUCUUGUUGCAGCAAAUACCCUGUAACUUUUAUUAACACUGAUUUUAAUAUUAAUAUUAGGCUAUUAUAAGGUGGAGCCUUCAAAUAAGCCCAUUGUGGCUUUUUUGCCUCUCCCUGCACUGUUUCAUAAUUACCUAUCAUGUUUUAUGUUGUACUCUUUUAAAUUCAACAAAGAGAGGAUACAGCUUACUUUAAAACUACAGUUAGAGCAAAUACUAGUGGACUUCAGUCAAGACUCAUCUUCUAUCUGUCUUUUCAUAAUGUUAAUCUAAAAUCUUUGCUUUCUGCCAGCAGGUUUUCGCUCUCUAAAAACUUAAGACUUGACCAUGCCUUAAAAAAGCCUUAUCUCUAAGACACGGCAGUUCCCUUUAACACCUGCUGCAGAUAGCAACUCAGGAUAAGGUUUCCUGGAAAAUCUGUAGGUUGCCAGAAGGAAACUCAACCCUCCACUGACAGCAGUGAGCAUAAUUACUAGAGAAAUCUCUGUCACACUUUAACUCACUUGUUUCAACACGACUCUUAUCAUCAGGUGACUCAGGGCACCAGUGAAAUCCUUGCUUACACAAUCAAAUCUUACAUUUAAGAGCUAUAAGUGGAAAACUCCUUUGUGAAACAGUCCAUUCAAUGAUUAACUAACACCAAAGGAAGUUUACAGAAGUGGGUCUAUUUCAUACGCACCAGUUUCUCCCAAAGACGCUGUAAAGAUGCUGCUGUUCAUGCUGGUUAUUGAUUCAUGAAAUAUAAUUGUCUUUAUCUGAAACUGAGUCAUUAUUCACGUACCAGGAGUAGUUUGUCCUUGAAUAUUUAAUUUCAGGAAAUGUGAUUUCCUGUAAAGAUCAGACACGUGUAUAAAGGUCUCACUGAACAAUAUUUGAAGGAUGAUAUUUUCAUUGGUGCGCACUUUUCUCUCAUGCAGUACUCUGAAUGACAGACUGUUGUGUUGAUCAAAACAGGGCUAACUUGUACGAAACAUGAUUUAGAUUUAUAUUCCACCCACAACAUAUACAAAUUAACUCAGUCACAAUGAUUUUCAUGUGAUAUGGUGAUUCCCUGAGCUGCAUCUUUUUAUUUUUCCGCACAGUUGUUACUUACAAUCUUUGGCCUUCAGAUGGCAGCACUCUUACACAAAUGUUUGCGUUUAAUCCUGACUUAGGAAGCACACAGAGGGCUCUUAUCUGAAGAACAAAUAUAUAAUCAUAAACACCAUCGGACAAUUUUCUCCUCUGAAUCUAUACCAACAAAUAAUGCUCAGAAAAGCCCCUAACUUCAUCAACAAUACAAAUAGGGUCCCAGCCGUAG